AUUGAACGCUGGCGGCAUGCCUUACACAUGCAAGCCGAACGGCAGCACGGGUGCUUGCACCUGGUGGUGAGUGGCGAACGGGUGAGUAAUAUAUCGGAACGUACCUUAUUGUGGGGGAUAACGCAGCGAAAGCUGUGCUAAUACCGCAUAAUCCCUAAGGGGGAAAGCGGGGGACCGUAAGGCCUCGCGCAAUUAGAGCGGCCGAUACCUGAUUAGCUAGUUGGUGAGGUAAAGGCUCACCAAGGCAACGAUCAGUAGCUGGUCUGAGAGGACGAUCAGCCACACUGGGACUGAGACACGGCCCAGACUCCUACGGGAGGCAGCAGUGGGGAAUUUUGGACAAUGGGGGCAACCCUGAUCCAGCAAUGCCGCGUGAGUGAAGAAGGCCUUCGGGUUGUAAAGCUCUUUUGUCAGGGAAGAAACAGCAGCUCUAACACAGUAUGCGAAUGACGGUACCUGAAGAAUAAGCACCGGCUAACUACGUGCCAGCAGCCGCCGCAG
rnacentral:rRNA from 1 species